CCUACGGGAGGCAGCAGUGAGGAAUAUUGGUCAAUGGACGAGAGUCUGAACCAGCCAAGUAGCGUGAAGGAUGACUGCCCUAUGGGUUGUAAACUUCUUUUAUAAAGGAAUAAAACGAGGCACGUGUGCCUUUUUGCAUGUACUUUAUGAAUAAGGAUCGGCUAACUCCGUGCCAGCAGCCGCGGUAAUACGGAGGAUGCGAGCGUUAUCCGGAUUUAUUGGGUUUAAAGGGUGCGCAGGCGGAGGUGCAAGUCAGCGGUCAAAUUGCGGGGCUCAACCCCGUACUGCCGUUGAAACUGCAUCCCUUGAGUGCGCGAGAAGUAUGCGGAAUGCGUGGUGUAGCGGUGAAAUGCAUAGAUAUCACGCAGAACUCCGAUUGCGAAGGCAGCAUACCGGCGCGCAACUGACGCUCAUGCACGAAAGCGUGGGUAUCGAACAGGAUUAGAUACCCCUGUAGUC
rnacentral:rRNA from 1 species